UACGUAGGGACCAAGCGUUGUUCGGAUUUACUGGGCGUAAAGGGCGCGUAGGCGGCGUGGUAAGUCACUUGUGAAAUCUCUGAGCUUAACUCAGAACGGCCAAGUGAUACUGCUGUGCUAGAGUGCAGAAGGGGCAAUCGGAAUUCCUGGUGUAGCGGUGAAAUGCGUAGAUAUCAAGAGGAACACCUGAGGUGAAGGCGGGUUGCUGGGCCGACACUGACGCUGAUGCGCGAAAGCCAGGGGAGCGAACGGG
rnacentral:rRNA from 1 species